UCGGCGGUAUCGGAUGUUGGAGCAUGGGCAAUGAACGUUAUCAGUUCCGUUGGCAUCAUUAUGGCCAAUAAGCAGCUCAUGUCCUCUAACGGUUAUGCUUUCUGCUUUGCCACGACGUUAACGGGUUUCCACUUUGCGGUAACGGCGCUGGUGGGACUUGNNGGCUUAUCCGUAUCAAAGCAUGUCCCAAUGUGGGAGCUUCUCUGGUUCUCUGUUGUUGCCAAUAUGUCUAUCACUGGCAUGAACUUCAGCCUUAUGCUUAACUCUGUCGGAUUCUACCAAAUUUCUAAACUCAGCAUGAUUCCUGUGGUUUGCAUAUUGGAAUGGAUUCUUCAUAACAAACAAUACUCAAGGGAAGUCAAGUCAUCUGUUUUGCUCGUAGUUAUAGGUGUUGGCGUUUGCACUGU
rnacentral:misc_RNA from 1 species